GGGCCGGUAGUUCAGUCUGGAAAUCACCCUAUGACAAGAGAGGGUGAACGUAAGAAAUGCCGGCUUCGCAAGCCGGAGGUCGUGGGUUCAAAUCCCACCCGGUCCACCA
rnacentral:tRNA from 1 species